GAUGAACGCUGGCGGCGUGCUUAACACAUGCAAGUCGAACGGAAAGGCCAGUGCUUGCACUGGUACUCGAGUGGCGAACGGGUGAGUAACACGUGGGUGAUCUGCCCUGCACUUCGGGAUAAGCCUGGGAAACUGGGUCUAAUACCGGAUAGGACAAUGGUUUGGAUGCCGUUGUGGAAAGUUUUUGCGGUGUGGGAUGAGCUCGCGGCCUAUCAGCUUGUUGGUGGGGUAAUGGCCUACCAAGGCGUCGACGGGUAGCCGGCCUGAGAGGGUGUAGGGCCAGAUUGGGACUGAGAUACGGCCCAGACUACGACGGGAGGCAGCAGGGGGGAAUAUUGGACAAUGGGCGGAAGCCUGAUGCAGCGACGCCGCGUGGGGGAUGAAGGCCUUCGGGUUGGAAACACAUUUCGCUAGGGAAGAAGCGUAUUUGUGACGGUACCUGGAGAAGAAGCACCGGCUAACUACGUG
rnacentral:rRNA from 1 species